CGAACGGGGAGGAGCCCAGAGCCUGAAUCAGUGUGUGUGUUAGUGGAAGCGUCUGGAAAGGCGCGCGAUACAGGGUGACAGCCCCGUACACAAAAAUGCACAUGCUGUGAGCUCGAUGAGUAGGGCGGGACACGUGGUAUCCUGUCUGAAUAUGGGGGGACCAUCCUCCAAGGCUAAAUACUCCUGACUGACCGAUAGUGAACCAGU
rnacentral:rRNA from 1 species